CCCUUAGAUGUUCUGGGCCGCACGCGCGCUACACUGACUGCUCCAACAAGUUACCUGGGCUGACAAGCAUCCGGGAAAUCUUGCAAAGGCAGUCGUGAUGGGGAUAGAUUCUUGUAAUUUUUGAUCUUCAACGAGGAAUUCCUAGUAAACGCAAGUCAUCAGCUUGCAUUGAUUACGUCCCUGCCCUUUGUACACACCGCCCGUCGCAUCUACCGAUUGAAUGGAGAGGCAAAAUCUUCGGACCGUGACGCUUGGGAGUCAAAUCUCGGGCUGUCGUGGGAAGUGGAUUAAACCUUUCUAUUUAGAGGAGGGUAAAGUCGUAACA
rnacentral:rRNA from 1 species